CUUGACACUUGCUGAAUUUUUUUCCUAUUAACUUUUUCCCAUAAGCACGCACACUCAGCUCACACACUUAAUAAAAUUUUUACCCAUUACCUCCAAAGCUCGUCAUCACUCACCUCCAAAGCACAAAAAAAAACCCUUUUAGAGAAUAUGGAAAACCCUCACCAUCACAAAGAUAAAAAAACUAUAUGUAUCUAGGGCGAAAUGCUUUAGUGAAUUUCUUUCCAUCUUCCCCCAAAGCACAUAAGACCCAGUAAAUUUUUUCCCUUCUUCCCCCUUUUCCCCGCUAUCAUCCUUUUGCACAAAGCUAAGAGUUUAUAGCUCUGCUACGCCAUCACAUGGCUCUUCUCCUUGCACCACAUCCUCGCUCGGCUCUGCUACGCCACGCCACGCCACUACCGCGGAUCUGUUACACUGCACCGCUGCCGCAGCUCUGCUACUUCGCAACGACGCCACAACUCUCUUACGUCGCACCAUCUCCUCGCCGUGCUCUUCAGCUUUGCUCCGCGUCUCCUUUGCUAAUGGUGCUGCCUCUGUUCCGUCUAUCCCUGCUCGAUUCGCUCUCUCAUCCACGAUAGAAAGUGGUCAAAGGGAAGAUCCUUAAUUCAUCAACUUUGAAUGUUCUAUACGAAGUUGAUGGUCAUUGGGAUAGAACAAUAAAAGUGAAGGAUACAAAUAACAGGAAAGCGAGAGUGAUAUAUGAUGCAAAAGAAGUCAUUAAUGGGCUGCAAGCACCAAUUGUUAAGGAUGCAGAGGUAAC